GUCACAUUGACCUCCAAAGAAUGACCACAUACCAAAAUUUCCUCUGGGUGUAAAUUCUCUGGAGCAUCAAUUUUUGUAAAAAUAAUUGCAGGAGCGGCAGUUACUCGAACUGUGAAAUCAGUUAAAAUUGGAGUUAAAAUGGCUCUCCUUUCCUGAUGCCGUCUUAUGCUACUGGCCAUGUUCCAUUCAAGUGCUGGAUUUUGAGAAUUCCUUUC
rnacentral:lncRNA from 1 species